rnacentral:rRNA from 1 species
AAACCAACAGGGAUUGCCUUAGUAGCGGCGAGUGAAGCGGCAAAAGCUCAAAUUUGAAAUCUGGCGCCUUCGGUGUCCGAGUUGUAAUUUGAAGAUUGUAACCUUGGGGUUGGCUCUUGUCUAUGUUUCUUGGAACAGGACGUCACAGAGGGUGAGAAUCCCGUGCGAUGAGAUGCCCAAUUCUAUGUAAGGUGCUUUCGAAGAGUCGAGUUGUUUGGGAAUGCAGCUCUAAGUGGGUGGUAAAUUCCAUCUAAAGCUAAAUAUUGGCGAGAGACCGAUAGCGAACAAGUACAGUGAUGGANAGAUGAAAAGAACUUUGAAAAGAGAGUGAAAAAGUACGUGAAAUUGUUGAAAGGGAAGGGUUUGAGAUCAGACUCGAUAUUUUGUGAGCCUUGCCUUCGUGGCGGGGUGACCCGCAGCUUAUCGGGCCAGCAUCGGUUUGGGCGGUAGGAUAAUGGCGUAGGAAUGUGACUUUACUUCGGUGAAGUGUUAUAGCCUGCGUUGAUGCUGCCUGCCUAGACCGAGGACUGCGAUUUUAUCAAGGAUGCUGGCAUAAUGAUCCCAAACCGC